rnacentral:rRNA from 1 species
GCAGUCGAGCGCGGGAAGCAAGCAAACACCCUUCGGGGUGUGCGCUUGUGGAACGAGCGGCGGACGGGUGAGUAACACGUGGGCAACCUGCCUGUAAGACUGGGAUAACCCCGGGAAACCGGGGCUAAUACCGGAUAAUACUUUUCAUUACCUGAUGGAAAGUUGAAAGGUGGCUUUAUGCUACCACUUACAGAUGGGCCCGCGGCGCAUUAGCUAGUUGGUGGGGUAACGGCCUACCAAGGCGACGAUGCGUAGCCGACCUGAGAGGGUGAUCGGCCACACUGGGACUGAGACACGGCCCAGACUCCUACGGGAGGCAGCAGUAGGGAAUCUUCCGCAAUGGACGAAAGUCUGACGGAGCAACGCCGCGUGAGUGAUGAAGGUCUUCGGAUCGUAAAACUCUGUUGUUAGGGAAGAACAAGUGCCGUUCAAAUAGGGCGGCACCUUGACGGUACCUAACCAGAAAGCCCCGGCUAACUACGUGCCAGCAGCCGCGGUAAUACGUAGGGGGCAAGCGUUGUCCGGAAUUAUUGGGCGUAAAGCGCGCGCAGGCGGUCCUUUAAGUCUGAUGUGAAAGCCCACGGCUUAACCGUGGAGGGUCAUUGGAAACUGGAGGACUUGAGUACAGAAGAGGAGAGUGGAAUUCCACGUGUAGCGGUGAAAUGCGUAGAGAUGUGGAGGAACACCAGUGGCGAACGACUCUCUGGUCUGUAACUGACGCUGAGCGCGAAAGCGUGGGGAGCGAACAGGAUUAGAUACCCUGGUAGUCCACGCCGUAAACGAUGAGUGCUAGGUGUUAGGGGGUUUCCGCCCCUUAGCUGAAGUUAACGCAUUAGCACUCCCUGGGGA